rnacentral:tRNA from 1 species
CAUUAUUCGUAGCUCAACGGUAGAGCAGUCCGAUAAAUCGGGAAGGUUACGGGUUCGAUUCCUGUCGCAAUGG